rnacentral:rRNA from 1 species
AGAGUUUGAUCAUGGCUCAGAGUGAACGCUAGCGGUGCGCCUAACACAUGCAAGUCGAGCGACUCUUCGAGAGGAGCGGCGAACGGCUGCGUAACACGUUGGCAUCUGCCCCAAACUCAGGGAUAACAUCGAGAAAUCGGUGCUAAUACCGGAUAGUCCUGUAAAGGUAAAGCUUUUGCGGUUUGGGAGGAGCCUGCGGCAUAUCAGCUUGUUGGUAAGGUAAUGGCUUACCAAGGCUAUGACGUGUAGCUGGUCUGAGAGGACGACCAGCCAGAAUGGGACUGAGACACGGCCCAUACUCCUACGGGAGGCAGCAGUGAGGAAUCUUCCACAAUGGGGGCAACCCUGAUGGAGCGACACCGCGUGAAGGAUGACGCCUUUUUUGGGUGUAAACUUCUGUUCUGAGGGACGAAAUUUUUGACGGUACCUCAGGAGCAAGCACCGGCUAAUUCCGUGCCAGCAGCCGCGGUAAGACGGGAGGUGCAAGCGUUACUCGGAAUUACUGGGCGUAAAGCGUCCGCAGGCGUUUUUAUAAGUCUGGCGUAAAAGCACGGAGCUCAACUCCGUGUCUGUGCUGGAAACUGUAAAAAUAGAGUUAUUCAGAGGCAACUGGAAUUCCAUGUGGAGGGGUAAAAUCCGUUGAUCCAUGGAGGAACGCCAAAAGCGAAAGCAGGUUGCUGGGGAUAUACUGACGCUCAGGGACGAAAGCGUGGGGAGCGAAGGGGAUUAGAUACCCCCGUAGUCCACGCCCUAAACGAUGUGUGCUCGGUGUGGGAAUUUACAAUUGAUUUCCGUGCCUUAAGCUAACGCGGUAAGCACACCGCCUGGGAACUACGGUCGCAAGACUAAAACUCAAAGGAAUAGACGGGGACCCACACAAGCGGUGGAGCGUGGGGUUUAAUUCGAUGAUAAGCGGAGCACCUCACCUAGGCUUGACAUCCCGAGAAUCAACUGGAAACAGCAGAGUGCCGCAAGGAACUCGGUGACAGGUGAUGCACGGUCGUCGUCAGCUCGUGCUUUGAAGUGUACUGUUAAGUCAGCAAACGAGCGCAACCCUAAUCCUAUGUUGCUUUUUCAUAGGAGACUGCCGCCUCCAAGGCGGAGGAAGGUUAGGAUGACGUCAGAUCUGCGUGUCCCUUAUGCCUAGGGCAACACCCGCGCUACAAUGGUCAGUACAAAGGGUAGCCAACCCGCGAGGGGGAGCCAAUCCCACAAAACUGAUCUCAGUUCGGAUUGGAGUCUGCAACUCGACUCCAUGAAGUUGGAAUCGCUAGUAAACGUGAAUCAGCUAUGUCACGUUGAAUAUGUUCCUGGGUCUUGUACUCACCGCCCGUCAAGUCAUGAAAGGCAGAGACGCCCGAAGCACCUUUAUCCCUCGGGAGAGGUACCACGGUGGAGCUGCUGAUUGGGACUAAGUCGUAACAAGGUA